AGUGAACGCUGGCGGUAGGCCUAACACAUGCAAGUCGAACGGCAGCACAGUAAUAGCUUGCUCUUACGGGUGGCGAGUGGCGGACGGGUGAGGAAUACAUCGGAAUCUACUUUUUCGUGGGGGAGAACGUAGGGAAACUUACGCUAAUACCUCAUACGACCUACGGGUGAAAGCAGGGGAUCUUCGGACCUUGCGCGAUUGAAGUAGCCGAUGUCGGCUUCGCUAGUUGGCGGGGUAAAGGCCCACCAAGGCGACGAUCCGUAGCUGGUCUGAGAGGAUGAUCAGCCACACUGGAACUGAGACACGGUCCAGACUCCUACGGGAGGCAGCAGUGGGGAAUAUUGGACAAUGGGCGCAAGCCUGAUCCAGCCAUACCGAGUGGGUGAAGAAGGCCUUCGGGUUGUAAAGCCAUUUUGUUGGGAAAGAAAAGCAGCAGGUUAAUACCCAGCUGUUCUGACGGUACCCAAAGAAUAAGCACCGGCUAACUUCGUG
rnacentral:rRNA from 1 species